rnacentral:rRNA from 1 species
GCUUGCUCCUUUGACGUUAGCGGCGGACGGGUGAGUAACACGUAGGUAACCUACCUAUAAGACUGGGAUAACUUCGGGAAACCGGAGCUAAUACCGGAUAAUAUUUCGAACCGCAUGGUUCGAUAGUGAAAGAUGGCUUUGCUAUCACUUAUAGAUGGACCUGCGCCGUAUUAGCUAGUUGGUAAGGUAACGGCUUACCAAGGCAACGAUACGUAGCCGACCUGAGAGGGUGAUCGGCCACACUGGAACUGAGACACGGUCCAGACUCCUACGGGAGGCAGCAGUAGGGAAUCUUCCGCAAUGGGCGAAAGCCUGACGGAGCAACGCCGCGUGAGUGAUGAAGGUCUUCGGAUCGUAAAACUCUGUUAUUAGGGAAGAACAAACGUGCAAGUAACUGUGCACGUCUUGACGGUACCUAA